CAGCAGCCGCGGGAACACGUAGGUAGCAAGCGUUGUCCGGAAUUAUUGGGCGUAAAGCGCGCGCAGGUGGUUUAAUAAGUCUGAUGUGAAAGCCCACGGCUCAACCGUGGAGGUUCAUUGGAAACUGUUAAACUUGAGUGCAGGAGAGAAAAGUGGAAUUCCUAGUGUAGCGGUGAAAUGCGUAGAGAUUAGGAGGAACACCAGUGGCGAAGGCGGCUUUUUGGCCUGUAACUGACACUGAGGCGCGAAAGCGUGGGGAGCAAGCAGGAUUAGAUACCCGCGUAGUCCCUGUCUCUUAUAC
rnacentral:rRNA from 1 species